AUAUGUUGAGACACGAGUGGCAUGAGCCCAUCAAUAGGCUAUGCACGUAUAGAUUAUUAGUUGAAAAGCAGUGAGUUCGCUUAUAAUAAUUGCCAAUGGUGUAUAUACAGCAGAUUAUGAGGAAAAUCCACUUAGCCACAUUGUCGUCUGCUAUGACUUUUAAUGGGGGACUGUGAUAAAUUUAUUUCGCUUAUAUUUCAACAGAGAAAGCUUUUCAACACUCCAGGAGGUUAUGGAUGGAUAAUAUAAAAGGAAUAGCAUCAUUGAGUCAUCCCAUUAUCGUGUAGAGUGCGGUAAAGAGGCAUAUGAGAGUGAAAUAAAUGUGGCUGACAGUUGAACAUUAGAAAAUAGCGGGAGGCUUGUCUAGUCCACCAGUGGCCGUUUCAGUGGGAUGGUGUAUUUGGCUUAUAUUUCAACACAAGACGCUUUUAAACACCUCAGUAGGUUAUGGACGGAUAGUUUACAGGGAAGGAAAUCACUGAGUCAGCCCAUUAUGGUGUAGAGUGCGGUAAAGAGGCGUACGAGGGUGAAGUAAGUGAGGUCCUGACAUGAACAGGAGCCAUUGCAGGGACGGAUCGAGUGCACCAGUGUAUUGCACUGACGACAGACAGUGUAACGCCAUUGAAAAGCAGUGUGUGGACCAGCAGAAGGGACCAAGAGGAGGAGGAGGACCCACGAGGCGAUACAGGUAAGUACUUUGCACACUUCAUCGAGGGACCUCAGCAUUGUCACGUGCAUAUUGUGAUAAGGAUCAUGGGAUAUCACUGGAAUGACUUCGCGUUGAACCGGUGACUACAUAAUGAAACCAAGUUGAGGCCUGCUACCAUCUUAGUCCGUGAAUGCCAACUUCAGCUAUAUGGACAAAUGGCAUGCCUCCCGCACAUCAAUCUUGCUCAUAGGGUUGUUUCUGUACAAGACAACCCUGAGUGGAGGAGACCAAGGGGAUGCCCACGUAACUCAUGGCUGUGGCAAGUUGAUUGAUCCUGUAAGGAGGGACUUGAGUUAUACAUUAAAGCUUCCUCAGGGAAACCGUCUGGAGUGGAGGCAUCGAGUGAGUGAGGUGAUACAUCCUCUGCGUAUGUUCCUUGUUAGUCAGUUAGUUUCUUAAUUUGUAUCAAGGCUCAUGGAGGUUAAUGGAAUGUAAUCUCUUAUAGGUAAUAAAUAUCAUAUACAUAAAACAUGCAAAUGCAUUCUUUAAUCUUCUUAGGUUCAGUUAUACCAUGAUAUAACUGAUCUGACAAAUUAAAUUUGUCAGAUGAAAAGUCAGAAAAGUGCCAAGGACAAUCAAUGUGGUCCCAACACCACAAAAACAUAAAUGAUUUUUUUUAUGAUGGGAAAAAACAAUGACUUGCUUUUCAGAUACUUCGCUUAUUUUUCUAGCUUUGAUCAUAUAGUUGUUUCAUUCUUCACUAGGUUUCUUCAGGUUUUACGACAGGCUUCUUGAACGGAAUAAACAGUGUAGCUUAUCACGUCUUUUUUUAGUGAAGUGGUUGCAGCUGUUUAUUAAGAAAGCCCUCCAUCCAUCCACACAUACAGGAAGAGUGGAGUUGUUUGUAUGUACAUAAAAUUUAGUUUUAUAACCUAGAUAAGUAGCUGGGACUGAAAAGUUGGCAGGCCGUCUAUUAUAACGGGGCUGUACAUUAGUAUACUUUUCUUUCCACGCGUGAUUCUACUUGAAUAACACAGUCAAGAUGCUUCUAAGUGAAGAACUUUUAGGGGGGAUAAUGAGAUUUUUGUGAGAGUUAGGCCCCCCCAUAGACCCCCAGCAGCAACAGACCUAGUAAUACCCAACACUGUUUUAUAAAAUCAUACACACACACAUAAACACACAAUUAAUAUGGUUGGCUAGUUGAGCAUUUAGAACUGAAGGGGAGUCUUACGGAGUUAUUUAGGGAAAUCUGUUUAGGAUUGGGGAGUAACUGGAGGUGUUAUGCACCUGUACGGGUGCCCUGCGCAUCAUGUAUCCAGAUCCAGGACAUAAAAGGGAGUUGAAAAAGACAAGAUGCUUGAAAGAUAAUAAGGAAUGCAGCUUUUCCAAUAGAUGUAUUGGACAGUGAAACAGCCUGGACAAAGAGGUUGAAAAUACUAAAACUUGAAUUAGUUUAAAGCUAAAAAUUGAUCAAUUAAGAAGAGCCAGGACCUUGCAAGUGUAGCUGAUUUUCUUUAUAUCACACACAACUAGUUACAAGUAAUAAGGCAGGAAAUGUGUGUGUAUAGAGACAGGACACUACAAACAAAGCUCAGGUCCUGUGCACUACACCUCAGUCAGAUUAGGUAAAUCUAUGGACAUUUAAAAAAAACAAAUUUUCAUCCUCAUGAGGUAAACUAUGAUAGCCAUUCUUUUCUUUUCCUCUUUCAUAAAAAUUUCACACACCAAACUGAAAAAUACCAUACUGCUUAUGUUGCAGGCUGGUGAAAAUACAUAAAAUGAAGUUGUACACUGCUGACCGUCAGAGGGGGCAGCUCCCACUGCUGGGUAACAAGUUCAGGGGAAGAUUUCAAAAGAACAUCAGCCAAGUGUACAUUACACUGCCUCUGCAUCUCGUUAUACUCCCAGUGGUAUUGAAAAGAAUAUGUAAAUGAAAAUAUAUAAUUUAUUAUAGAGCACAACAGUCUUUGUUAAUGUAAGAAAUGACAUUCUGAUCAUAUUGGGUGAACACAAGACGUGGGUGAAGGACAAGAGAUCAACGGCAGCCUGUUGUAUGUGGAUGGUUUGCUUGCGUGGGCGUGGCUUGGGAGACGAAUAAUUUCACGGGUGAAUU